rnacentral:rRNA from 1 species
GGACUACAGGGGUAUCUAAUCCUGUUUGCUCCCCACACUUUCGAGUUUCAGCGUCAGUCGUGGUCCAGUAAGCCGUCUACACCGCAGGUGUUCCUCCUGAUAUCUACGCAUUUCACCGCUACACCAGGAAUUCCGCCUACCUCUCCCACACUCUAGCACUACAGUCUUCGGCGCACCCUCCCAGUUAAGCCGGGAGAUUUCACACCAAACUUAUAGCACCGCCUACACUCGCUUUACGCCCAGUAAUUCCGAACAACGCUUGCUGCCUACGUAUUACCGCGGCUGCUGGCAC